rnacentral:rRNA from 1 species
CUUGACUCCGGUUGAUCCUGCCGGACCCCACUGCUAUCGGGGUGGGACUAAGCCAUGCAAGUCUAUGGCCGCAGCUUCCGCGGCCAUGGCGCACGGCUCAGUAACACGUGGCCAACCUACCCCAAGGAGGGGGAUAACCCCGGGAAACUGGGGCUAAACCCCCAUAGGCGAUGGGCUCUGGAAGGACCCAUCGCCGAAAGUGUGCCAAGAGGAUGCUCUUGGCACAGCCUUGGGAUGGGGCUGCGGCCGAUCAGGUAGUUGGUGGGGUAACGGCCCACCAAGCCUAUAACCGGUACGGGCCCUGAGAGGGGGAGCCCGGAGAUGGACUCUGAGACAAGAGUCCAGGCCCUACGGGGCGCAGCAGGCGCGAAACCUUCGCAAUGCGCGCAAGCGCGACGAGGCCACCCCGAGUGCCACCCUCGUGGUGGCUUUUGCCCAGUGUGAACAGCUGGGCGAAUAAGCGGGGGGCAAGACGGGUGUCAGCCGCCGCGGUAAUACCCGCUCCGCGAGUGGUGGGGACUUUUACUGGGCUUAAAGCGUCCGUAGCCGGCCCAGCAAGUUCUCUGUUAAAUCCGGCGGCCUAACCGCCGGGCUGCAGAGAAUACUGCUGGGCUUGGGGGUGGGAGAGGCCGACGGUACUCCCGGGGUAGGGGUAAAAUCCACUGAUCCCGGGAGGACCACCAGUGGCGAAGGCGGUCGGCCAGAACACGCCCGACGGUGAGGGACGAAAGCUGGGGGAGCGAUCGGGAUUAGAUACCCCGGUAGUCCCAGCCGUAAACGAUGCGGGCUAGGUGUCACGCCAGCUACGGGCUGGCGUGGUGCCGAAGGGAAACCAUUAAGCCCGCCGCCUGGGGAGUACGGCCGCAAGGCUGAAACUUAAAGGAAUUGGCGGGGGAGCACCACAAGGGGUGGACGUUGCGGCUUAAUUGGAGUCAACGCCGGAAAGAGCCGCGCGUGCGGUUACAAGGCUCCCGGAGACCUUACCGGGGGCGACAGCAGGAUGAAGGCCAGGUUGAAGGCCUUGCCGGACGAGCUGAGAGGAGGUGCAUGGCCGUCGCCAGUGCGUGCCGUGAGGUGUCCUGUUAAUUCAGGCAACGGACGAGACCCGCGCCCUCAGUUGCCAUCGGGCCGAAAGGCGCCGGGCACUCUGAGGGGACUGCCCCCGAAAGGGGGAGGAAGGAGCGGGCCACGGCAGGUCAGUAUGCCCCGAAUCCCCCGGGCCGCACGCGACGUUCAAUGGUGGGGACAAUGGGUUGCGACCCCGAAAGGGGGAGCCAAUCCCUAAACCCCACCUCAGUUGGGAUCGAGGGUUGCAACUCGCCCUCGUGAACGCGGAAUCCCUAGUAACCGCCCGUUACCAUCGGGCGGUGAAUACGUCCCCGCUCCUUGCACACACUGCCCGUCGCUGCAUCCGAGCUGGGUCUGAGCGAGGCCCAGUCUUGUUGGCUGGGUCGAGCUCAGACUUGGCGAGGAGGCAGAAGUCGUAACAAGGUGGCCGUACGGGAACGUGCGGCCGGAUCACCUCCUACCG